rnacentral:rRNA from 1 species
CUAAGAAUCUUCCGCAAUGGACGAAAGUCUGACGGAGCGACGUCGCGUGGGUGAUGAAGGCGGAAACGUUGUAAAGCCCUUUUAUAGACGAGGAAUAAGCUUUGGAGGGAAUGCCAGAGUGAUGACGGUAGUCUGUGAAUAAGCCCCGGCUAACUACGUG